rnacentral:lncRNA from 1 species
UUUUUUCUUCCUAAUUUUAACACAUAUUUGUCCAUAAAAACUGUCAUUUUCUUUAUUUCUUUUUUUCUUUGUAAAUUUUUUUAAACAACAUAUUAUGAUAUCAAUACAUUAUAUUUUAGAAUUUUAGAUAUUAAAAAACUCAAAUAUCAAAACAUUAUAAUUUAAGUCAAUAUAAUUAUUCAUAAAAAAUUCCCAUAUUUUCUUGUUUUAGUGUUUAACGCAUAUAUUUAAUUUUAAAAACGAGGUAUAAAAUAAGUAUAAAUUAUUCUACUUGUGCUGAUUUGGUGUAGUAAACAUAGUCACCUUGAGAAGGCUUCUAUGUUAAACAAAUGCUUUAAGUAGCUAAGUAAUAUGUAUAAGUAUGUGUCAUUUUCAUUCAAAUACAUCAAUUUGGAGUGUUUCAUC